CCUACGGGAGGCAGCAGUGAGGAAUAUUGGUCAAUGGACGAAAGUCUGAACCAGCCAAGUAGCGUGAAGGAUGACUGCCCUAUGGGUUGUAAACUUCUUUUAUAUGGGAAUAAAAUGUUCCACGUGUGGGAUUUUGUAUGUACCAUAUGAAUAAGGAUCGGCUAACUCCGUGCCAGCAGCCGCGGUAAUACGGAGGAUCCGAGCGUUAUCCGGAUUUAUUGGGUUUAAAGGGAGCGUAGGUGGAUUGUUAAGUCAGUUGUGAAAGUUUGCGGCUCAACCGGAAAAUUGCAGUUGAAACUGGCAGUCGUGAGUACAGUAGAGGUGGGCGGAAUUCGAGGUGUAGCGGUGAAAUGCUUAGAUAUCACGAAGAACUCCGAUUGCGAAGGCAGCUCACUGGACUGCAACUGACACUGAGGCUCGAAAGUGUGGGUAUCAAACAGGAUUAGAUACCCCAGUAGUC
rnacentral:rRNA from 1 species